GCCCUCUCGGAAUCACACCUAGAGAGUUUCAAGUACUCCACCAGGCUUGGCUAUGGGAGGGAGAGUCAAGCAGAGGCAUACCCAUUCCAUUUCUAGCUUGGGCAGUGGUUAGUGACUGGAAGGCAAUCUGUUACAAGU